rnacentral:misc_RNA from 1 species
GAAAUGCGAUAAGUAAUGUGAAUUGCAGAAUUCAGUGAAUCAUCGAAUCUUUGAACGCACCUUGCGCUCCUUGGUAUUCCUUGGAGCAUGCCUGUUUGAGUAUCAUGAAAUCUUCAAAGUAAAUCUUUUGUUAACUCAAUUGGUUUCUACUUUGGUAUUGGAGGUCUUUGCAGCUUCACACCUGCUCCUCUUUGUUCAUUAGCUGGAUCUCAGUGUUAUGCUUGGUUCCACUCGGCGUGAUAAGUUAUCUAUCGCUGAGGACACUGUACAAGGUGGCCAAGGUAAAUGCAGAUGAACCGCUUCUAAUAGUCCAUUGACUUGGACAAUACUUUUAUGAUCUGAUCUCAAAUCAGGUAGGAAUACCCGCUGAACUUAAGC